rnacentral:lncRNA from 1 species
AUGAACUCUUUCAUUUCCUUCAUUGCUUCCCUUCUCCCACAGGGUAAAAAAAAGAAAAGAAAAAAGCACUUUCAUAGCACUCUCAUCAACAGAGCACUUGUAGAACAAGGUCACCUGUGGAUUGUCCUCUACGGAGUUUGUCCUUGUCCAGGCGCCUGCUCUGGCCCGGGCUUUGCUGCUGGCGGCGACCUGCAGUGAGCAGCGUGGGCUGAAAGUCUGGCGUGCCGUUGCAGACAUCCAAAGUCCACCAAACUGCUUUGCUCGCGCUUCUCCGGCAGCCUGUGGGACUCUUCUCAUGUAACGUGGGAGGGGGGAAGUGGACGGAAAUUAUGUGUAUUCUACCCCCAGGAGUUAAGUAAUGGAGGAACGGUAUUACUGUGAUAAAAUAUACAUAACAUAGAACUUGCCAUUUUAUUUUUCAGUGUACACCUCAGGGCACUAAGGACACUCACAAUGCUGUGCGACCGUCAUCACCGUCCAUUUCCAGAACUUUUCAUCAUGCCAAACAGAAACUUGGUGCCCAUCAAACAAUAACCCUCUUCCCAGCGCCGCGACCUCUAACCCGCGGCCGUCUGCGCACGCGCGCCUGCUGGGCGCCUC